UAGGCUGAAGCCCGCUGGCUUGGGUGUUUAGUUGUUAAUUAAUUUUUUACGGGAUCGAGGCCCGUCGGCCUAGA
rnacentral:tRNA from 1 species